rnacentral:rRNA from 1 species
UACGAAGGGGGCUAGCGUUGCUCGGAAUCACUGGGCGUAAAGGGUGCGUAGGCGGGUCUUUAAGUCAGGGGUGAAAUCCUGGAGCUCACUCCAGAACUGCCUUUGAUACUGAAGAUCUUGAGUUCGGGAGAGGUGAGUGGAACUGCGAGUGUAGAGGUGAAAUUCGUAGAUAUUCGCAAGAACACCAGCGGCGAAGGCGGCUCACUGGCCCGAUACUGACGCUGAGGCACGAAAGCGUGGGGAGCAAACAGG